AACUUUGGUACCUGGUAUAUAUCUA
rnacentral:misc_RNA from 1 species